rnacentral:rRNA from 1 species
GACGAACGCUGGCGGCGUGCCUAAUACAUGCAAGUCGAACGCAGUGGGGACGGGUGAGUAACACGUGGGCAACCUCCCAUCAGAGGGGAUAACACUUGGAAACCGGUGCUAAACCGAUACUGAUGGAUGGACCCGCGGUGCAUUAGCUAGUCGGUGAGGUAACGGCUCACCAAGGCCACGAUGCAUAGCCGGCCUGGGAGGAGGAUCGGCCACACGGGAACUGAGACACGGCCCAGACUCCGACGGGAGGCAGCAGUAGGGAAUAUUCGGCAAUGGACGAAAGUCUGACCGAGCAACGCCGCGUGAUUGAAGAAGGUUUUCGGGUCGUAAAGCUCUGUUGUUGGAGAAGCGGUAUCUAACCAGGAAGCCACGGCUAACUACGUGCCAGCAGCCGCGGUAAUUC